UUAAACUAGGGAUUAGAUACCCUAUUAUUAAAAUUUAAAUUUUAAAUACUAAAAUAGUAAGUAAUUAUUUAUUGAAACUUAAAUAAUUUGGCGGUAUUUUAGUUCAUUUAGAGGAAUCUGUUUAAUAAUUGAUAAUCCACGAAUAAAUUUACUUAAUUUAUUAUUUUGUAUAUCGUUGUUAAAAAAAUAUUUUUUAAUAAUUAAUAAUAUUUAAAAAUUUAAAUAUAAAAUUAAAUCAGAUCAAGAUGCAGAUUAUAAUUAAGAAUAUAAUGGAUUACAAUAAAUUUAUUUAAAUGAAUAUUAAUUUGUAAAAUUUAAUUGAAGGUGGAUUUAAAUGUAA
rnacentral:rRNA from 1 species